rnacentral:rRNA from 1 species
UUCCGGUUGAUCCUGCCGGACCUUACUGCUAUCGGGGUGGGACUAAGACAUGCGAGUCGAGCGUCUCUAGCUAUGUUGAGACGCGGCAGACGGCUCAGUAACACGUGGCUAACCUACCCUCAGGACGAGGAUAAACCCGGGAAACUGGGGCUAAUACUCGAUAGGUGAGAAUGUCUGGAAUGAUUUCUCAUUCAAAGGGCUUUAGAAACAUGCUUCUAAAGUCGCCUGGGGAUGGGGCCGCGUCCGAUCAGGUUGUUGGUGAGGUAACGGCUCACCAAGCCUAUAACCGGUACGGGCCGUGAGAGCGGUAGCCCGGAGAUGGGUACUGAGACAAGGACCCAGGCCCUACGGGGCGCAGCAGUCGCGAAAACUCCGCAAUGCACGAAAGUGUGACGGGGCUACCCCGAGUGCCAUCCGCUGAGGAUGGCUUUUCUUUGGUGUAACUAGCCGGGGGAAUAAGGAGAGGGCAAGACUGGUGUCAGCCGCCGCGGUAAUACCAGCUCUCCGAGUGGUAGGGAUGAUUAUUGGGCUUAAAGCGUCCGUAGCCGGCUUAGCAAGUCUCCUGUUAAAUUCAGCGACCUAAUCGUUGAGCCGCGGGAGAUACUACUAGGCUAGGAGGCGGGAGAGGUCGACGGUACUUCUGGGGUAGGGGUGAAAUCCUAUAAUCCCGGGAGGACCACCAGUGGCGAAGGCUGUUGACUAGAACGCGCUCGACGGUGAGGGACGAAAGCUGGGGGAGCGAACCGGAUUAGAUACCCGGGUAGUCCCAGCCGUAAACGAUGCGGGCUAGGUGUUGGGGUGGCUACGUGCCACUUCAGUGCCGCAGGGAAGCCAUUAAGCCCGCCGCUGGGAGUACGGCCGCAAGGCUGAAACUUAAAGGAAUUGGCGGGGGGAGCACACAAGCGUGAAGCUUGCGUCAAUUGAAUCAACGCCGGU